rnacentral:rRNA from 1 species
GAUGAACGCUGGCGGCGUGCCUAAUACAUGCAAGUCGAUCGGGCGUAGCAAUACGCCAGAGGCGAACGGGUGAGUAACACGUAGGUAACCUGCCCUCGAGACUGGGAUACCCAGACGAAAGUUUGGCUAAUACCGGAUAACAACAUUAGAGGCAUCUCUGAUGUUUGAAAGGCGCUUUAUAGCGUCACUCUUGGAUGGACCUGCGGCACAUUAGCUAGUUGGUGAGAUAAUAGACCACCAAGGCGACGAUGGGUAGCCGGCCUGAGAGGGUGGACGGCCACACUGGAACUGAGACACGGUCCAGACUCCUACGGGAGGCAGCAGUGGGGAAUCUUCCGCAAUGGGCGAAAGCCUGACGGAGCAACGCCGCGUGAGAGAAGAAGGCUUUCGGGUUGUAAAUCUCUGUCUUCGGGGAAGAAAAAAAUGACGGUACCCGAGGAGGAAGCCCCGGCUAACUACGUGCCAGCAGCCGCGGUAAAACGUAGGGGGCAAGCGUUGUCCGGAAUUACUGGGCGUAAAGGGCGCGUAGGCGGUUAUACAAGUCAGAGGUGAAACCCACCGGCUUAACCGGUGGCCUGCCUCUGAAACGGUAUGACUUGAGGGCAGGAGAGGGGAGUGGAAUUCCCAGUGUAGCGGUGAAAUGCGUAGAUAUUGGGAGGAACACCAGUGGCGAAGGCGGCUCUCUGGCCUAACCCUGACGCUGAGGCGCGAAAGCGUGGGGAGCAAACGGGAUUAGAUACCCCGGUAGUCCACGCCGUAAACGAUGGGUGCUAGGUGUAGGAGGUAUCGACCCCUUCUGUGCCGUAGUUAACACAAUAAGCACCCCGCCUGGGGAGUACGGCCGCAAGGUUGAAACUCAAAGGAAUUGACGGGGGCCCGCACAAGCGGUGGAGCAUGUGGUUUAAUUCGACGCAACGCGAAGAACCUUACCAGGGCUUGACAUCCCCUGACCGCGUAUGAAAGUACGUUUUCUACCUUCGGGUAGACAGGGAGACAGGUGGUGCAUGGUUGUCGUCAGCUCGUGUCGUGAGAUGUUGGGUUAAGUCCCGCAACGAGCGCAACCCCUACGUUUAGUUGCUAACGUGUAAUGGCGAGCACUCUAGAAGAACUGCCGUUGACAAAACGGAGGAAGGUGGGGAUGACGUCAAAUCAUCAUGCCCCUUAUGUCCUGGGCUACACACGUGCUACAAUGGCCGGUACAAAGGGACGCGAAGUCGCGAGGCGGAGCAAAUCCGAUAAAAGCCGGUCUCAGUUCGGAUUGCAGGCUGCAAUUCGCCUGCAUGAAGUCGGAAUCGCUAGUAAUCGCAGGUCAGCAUACUGCGGUGAAUACGUUCCCGGGCCUUGUACACACCGCCCGUCACACCACGAAAGCCGACAACACCCGAAGCCGGUGACUUAACCUGAAAAGGGGAGAGCCGUCGAAGGUGGGGCUGGUGAUUGGGGUG